rnacentral:misc_RNA from 1 species
AACGCACGAGACCUGCGGACCUGCGGAGGGAUCAUUACCGAGUGCGGGCCCUCUGGGUCCAACCUCCCACCCGUGUUUAUUGUACCUUGUUGCUUCGGCGGGCCCGCCAUUCUGGCCGCCGGGGGGCUUGCCCCCGGGCCCGCGCCCGCCGAAGACACCCUCGAACUCUGUCUGAAGAUUGUAGUCUGAGUGGAAUUAUAAAUUAUUAAAACUUUUAGCAAUGGAUCUCUAGAUCGGAAG